rnacentral:rRNA from 1 species
GACGAACGCUGGCGGCGUGCCUAAUACAUGCAAGUCGAACGAGAGCAACCGGUGCUUGCACUGGUCAAUCUAGUGGCGAACGGGUGAGUAACACGUGGGUAACCUGCCCAUCAGAGGGGGAUAACAUCCGGAAACGGAUGCUAAAACCGCAUAGGUCUUCGAACCGCAUGGUUUGAAGAGGAAAAGAGGCGCAAGCUUCUGCUGAUGGAUGGACCCGCGGUGCAUUAGCUAGUUGGUGAGGUAACGGCUCACCAAGGCCGUGAUGCAUAGCCGACCUGAGGGGGUGAUCGGCCACAGUGGGACUGACACGGCCCAAACUCCUACGGGAGGCAGCAGUAGGGAAUCUUCCGCAAUGGACGCAAGUCUGACGGAGCAACGCCGCGUGAGUGAAGAAGGUUUUCGGAUCGUAAAACUCUGUUGUUAGAGAAGAACAAGUGCUAGAGUAACUGUUAGCGCCUUGACGGUAUCUAACCAGAAAGCCACGGCUAACUACGUG